GGUGGGAGGGGGCUUGCCCCCGACAGCGAUGUGUCAGCUACAGAUGAGUUGACUGACACACUGCAAUCGGGGGCAAGCCCCCUCCCACA
rnacentral:misc_RNA from 1 species